GACGAACGCUGGCGGCGUGCUUAACACAUGCAAGUCGAACGGUAAGGCCCUUCGGGGUACACGAGUGGCGAACGGGUGAGUAACACGUGGGUGAUCUGCCCUGCACUUCGGGAUAAGCCUGGGAAACUGGGUCUAAUACCGGAUAGGACUCCUGGCUUCAUGGUUGGGGGUGGUAAAGCUUUUGCGGUGUGGGAUGGGCCCGCGGCCUAUCAGCUUGUUGGUGGGGUAAUGGCCUACCAAGGCGACGACGGGUAGCCGGCCUGAGAGGGUGACCGGCCACACUGGGACUGAGAUACGGCCCAGACUCCUACGGGAGGCAGCAGUGGGGAAUAUUGCACAAUGGGCGCAAGCCUGAUGCAGCGACGCCGCGUGAGGGAUGACGGCC
rnacentral:rRNA from 1 species